rnacentral:rRNA from 1 species
UUGAACGCUGGCGGCAUGCCUUACACAUGCAAGUCGAACGCGAAAGGGGGCAACCCUGAGUAGAGUGGCGAACGGGUGAGUAAUACAUCGGAACGUGUCCUAUAGUGGGGGAUAACCCAGCGAAAGUUGGGCUAAUACCGCAUACGUCCUACGGGAGAAAGCGGGGGAUCGCAAGACCUCGCGCUAGUGGAGCGGCCGAUGUCCGAUUAGCUUGUUGGUGAGGUAAAGGCUCACCAAGGCGACGAUCGGUAGCUGGUCUGAGAGGAUGAUCAGCCACACUGGGACUGAGACACGGCCCAGACUCCUACGGGAGGCAGCAGUGGGGAAUUUUGGACAAUGGGGGCAACCCUGAUCCAGCCAUGCCGCGUGAGUGAAGAAGGCCUUCGGGUUGUAAAGCUCUUUCGGUCGGGACGAAACGGCGGAUGCUAAUACCAUCCGUUACUGACGGUACCGACAGAAGAAGCACCGGCUAACUACGU